UUCAGUCCACGUGAACCUCACAGCCACCGCUGGACAGAACGUCACUCUGCCAUGUCGAGCUCCAAAAAACCCAGGCUUCACAGCUGUAGAGUGGAGCAGGGCUGAAAUAGAAGAACAAUAUGUGUUUUUUACUUGGAUGACCAUCCUGAUCUAGCUGAACAGCAUCCAUCUUUUGAGAACCGGGUGGAUCUGCAGGACAGACAGAUGAAGGAGGGAAACGUGUCUUUGAUUCUAAACAAUGUGACCAUUAAUGACAUUGGAACACACGAGUGUCGUGUCAACACACUAACAAGCCGCAAGAGGAGAGCUCAUCUGAAGACCAACCCCAUCAGCAUCAUCUACCUGAGUGUUGUUGAUCCUCCAGGUCAGACAGGAGGAGGCAGAGAGGAUGGAGGAGUCAACAACAUGUAUGUGUUUAGCGGUCAUCGUUAGUAAGGGCAGAGGGGACUGGAGAGAAUGGCACUCUUCAGUCUUCAGUACCCAGAGAUGAGGUCAUCAUACAAGUGAAUACUGAAAAUCGGGAUGUUGAGCACCCAGCCCACCAAGAUCAAGUGAAGCUGCAAGAUCAAGAGAUGAUAGACAGAGACCCAUCGACCAAAGGAGAAGCCAUGAGGAAAGGCCUCCCAACUGGAAGCUGGAUGAGCAGCACAAAGCAGUCGUGGCUAUUGGUUGAGGCCAGGGGCAAGAUGAAGGCUGCAGUCAGAGUUCGGGGUGGGAUGGAGGCUGCAGUCAGGGCCGGGGCGAGAUAGAGGCUGCAAUCAUGGGUGGGGGCAACAUGGAGGCUGUGGCCAUGGGCAAGAAUGAGGCUGCAGUCGUGGGUGGGGGCGAGAUGGAGGUUGCAGUCACGGGUGGGGGCGAGAUUGAGGCUGCAAUCAGGGCUGGGAGCGAGAUAGAGGCUGCAGUGGUGGGCAGGGGCGAGAUGGAGUUUGCAGUCAUGGGCGGGGGUGAGAUUAAGGCUGCAGUUGCAGCCUCGAAUGUAAUCAGAGCUGUGAAGGAGGCUCUCGGUUUAAUCUGAACACAGACUAAAACUUAUCCAGACUGGUCCCAGCCCACCUGCAGAUUGAAGUUAAUAAGCCAACCUCCAGUGGGAGUAGUUCAGCCUCCAGCCAAACACCAGCUCUCCUUCUUCUUCUUACUCACCCAUCACCGAUCGCUUCAACCAACACUCUGAAAAUAAAAUAAGAUUUAUUGUUGAAUUUUUUUCAGCCCCUCUCAAUAUUAUUAUGUUUACCAAGCCAACAAUCCCCUCACAUUAUGCCACUUUAAUUCCAUGUGUUUCUCUAAUUUGAGGAUGAUGAAGUGUACUUGUGACCAGAAAGCAAAUCAAUUUACCUGCUGUAUGUAAUACAAAAUGUAAUGUUUCACUAACCAUAAAAGAAGCAUCAAACGACACUGUUCUUGUUUAGAAAAGUUCCCCCUUUGGAGGAUAUAGAGCCUUUUGGCUCCAAUCUGUAUCCCAAAAGUAAGAUGAAUAAAGACAA